GCAGCCUCGUGCCGCCCAGCUCCUCCCCUCGUCGCGGCGCUGCAGUUCCCCAGCAGCGCUCAGCGCGGGCGGCGCGCGGCCGCGUGGAACCGCCUCGGGGCGGAGCUGCAGAUCCGCCUGGAGCCGGGGGUCGGGAGGAGGAGCGCGGUCCAGAAGCGUUGGCCAGGGGGUGUCGGCGAGCAGUGAGGGAGGUGUUUAGAACCAAAAUGGCUUCUUGCGCCCCGUGCAAUUUAAGAGACUUUCUGUAUGCAGCUCCUGUCGUUCUUUGCCUAGUGUCGCAAUCUCCAGUUUUGCUCUUACUGUAUUUUCUCUGUGCACGUGUGUUCUUUGCGCCACGCCCUCUGGGAGCGAGGCACGAGGCUGGGCCCCUGAAGGACCCACGGCGUUCGAGUGUCCCGCCUCCAAGUGCCGUGAGACCUUCAGCUCCUGCAGCACCCGGUGGUUCGGAGCUGGCCGGCACAAAUGCAGGUCUUCUUGCAGCCUUUUGCUAGUCGGUGUGCUCAAGGAGAACUGUUCUUAAUCAAGAAUUCGGAGAUGGAAAGUGCAAAACUGUCUAUGGGGUGAGGCGCUUUAUAUUAACCUCUAUUUUAGACACACUACCUCGUUUAAGGGAAAGGGUUUCAGAGGUGGGAGUGCCCUCCAGCCUACACCGUCUGCUCCUGCACACACCUGUGGCUUCAGGCCUCACCAGCCUUGUGGCACUGGAGUUCUGCAGACUAACAAGGCACAGAACCCUGGUCCUUCUGUUUCAUUGGUGGCUUUCUGAAUUCCAAUAUGGCACUUAUUUUGAUGCUGCUUGUGCUACCACUGACUUGUCUCACGGAGAGUCUGCUUUGGAAAUUUCAUGAUUGACGUUUCCAAAUGCUACUAUCUGCUGGAUUUGGAUACCACAGCUGAAACCCCAAGGGAGCCAAGAUACUCCUCCAACGAAGAGGAGUGGGUAACCAUUGCCUACAAGCCAUUCCUAGAUACCUCCAGGCCCUCAGUGCUGCUGCGUGCAUUCUACAUCUCUCUUCUCUCAGAAAAGGAGGGGGGAAGAGGAGAACAGUUGAAAGACAAUUAACUGUGAAAUGUACUGAAUCUCAAGGAGUGAAGCAGUGUGUGCCAUGGAGAAAUAGCCCGAAGCUGCUCUGUACAGAAGAUACGUUCAAGGAAAAACUUGCACUUUUGGGAAAAAAGCUACCACAAACUUAUGGAUUGAGCCAAUUAUCCGUUUUAAUGGGACUGGGUUGCUUUUUGUUAUAUUUGGCAAUAUGAAACACAGAGGACUUGCUUGUUAUUUAUAAUUACCUAUAAUGUGCUUUCAGUUCUAAAUAUAGCGUCUUCAAAUCUCUGGAAAAAAAGAAGGAAGGUUAAUUUUAUUUUUUUUAAAUCUGUUUCCCGGCUCUACCAGGUAGAGUGUGUUUGUUCUAUUGGUCUAAUAUUCUUCAGAGAAAUACUGCAUUUAAUUAUAUCUCCAUUUUAAAAGCAUGCAGAGUUAUAAGCUGAAUGGAAUUGUUUUCACCUGCAUUCUUGGAACUGUACAGGAAUAGGAUGGCAUGAGAUGGAGCAGAGGAGUAGUUCCCUUUGCAAAAAAGACUACACAUGCUCUGUGCUUCACUGACUGUGAUUAGAUUGGACUGCAUGUGCAAUGCUGGGAGUGGGAGGAUCAGGGAGCAGGUUGGUUGGUAUGCAAAAGGCAGAGCACAUGCCCCUAAGGGCGCAUUUCACUCCAUGUGCAGGAUGCUAGGCAGGUCUUAUGGUCAGUCUGCAGGUUAACAUUUGAGCAGGAGGGCAAGGAUGCACCAGCAGGGCUGUGCUCUAACAUGGCAUUACUGGGACAGAGCAGGAGAAGCAGGAUGAGAAAAAAAGCAGGGGAGGAGUUAUAAGAGAAGCUUGGAAAUGUAGAGAGAGGCAUUCUGAAUCCUUUGCGUUUCAUUAGAAGGCUUUUCUAUGGUAUUGUGCUCUGUUAUAAAUGGUUUAUACAGUGCAAAGCAUGAUAAGAGCAAAUACACGUUGUUAUCUGGUUUACUGCAGCCUGGAGAACGCAGUUCUCUCCCCUUGAACCCCCACUACACGAGGAAACGGUCUGAAGCUGAGACUGAAUUUAAACUUUGAAGGCUUAGGGGAUCAUCUGUGACAUCAGUGUCACGGUCCUUCUCAGAGAGUGGACUUUACCCUCCACGAGUAUCACCUCUCCUGAGAGUCAAACAUGUUGCUCAGGGAUUUCCACCGAACAGCUGGUGUGCGGGGAGAACUGCUCGGAGAGGUGGGAGCCAUGGAUCAGCACGGUGGUGGCUGUGCUCGCAGCAUUCUCUCACCACCCUCUGGUCUGCUCUACCCCUCAUUGAAAUAUACAUGUGUUGAACAGGGCUUUGGAGUGGUGAAUCAAAACCAGGUCUGUGGCACUAUUUGUCACCUUUCCCUGUGCUAAUCUCUGACCUUGAAUCAUGUAAAAAAAAAAACAACAACAAAUGUGGCUAAAGAACAGCUGCACCUCUCCCUGGUGCUGUUUGUGUGACCGUUCCACACUGUCAUAGCCCUUAACCUUGUGUUUAAUGUGAAAAGACUGUGCAGUGAAGAUGUGUUUUCAAUGGCAGUGGCUGUUUCACCUUCCUUUCUAGUUUAAUUCACAAGUCAGGACUGCUGCACUCUGCAGUGUGCUGAGAUUAAGGAAAAGGCAGUUAAUAAUGAGAGGGCUCUUGGUGAUGAGACUGAUGGAGCAAGCAGUAGGAGUCAAGGGUGUGUGUGCUGGGGCGCGCAAGAGGAGGGACAGCCUGCAGGAGCAGCUAACAGGCUGCUUUACCUGGGCAGAGGAUUUUGCUUCUUGAAUUCAAUUGUGGAUGCGAAGAGGUUUGUGCCAAAAGGUGGAGCUACAUCCAAAAAAACCACCACAAACACAUUUUUAAAGGUAUUUUAUAGUUUGUUGUUCUGAUUUUGUUAGCAAACUUGUGGAGAGGGGCUUCAGUUUCUUUUCUUUGUCUUUACUUUGACCUUCAUUAAAGCAAAUGCAUGAUCUUGUUAUGAGGUAACGGGUUUGUAGCAGCUAAUUUAUGGUCUCAAAAAAUCAAAUCUUGUGGUUUACAUCCUCAGGGACAAACAGUCAGACCAGAGGCUGCUCCGUGGAUUCCCUGUCCUGGUCAGGAGGGGUGCUGUGUCCAGACCUGAGCAGUGCCUCAGGAUGGUGCCCGCAAUCUUGGCUUGAUAUUUGCUGCCUUUGUCUCUAUUCUUUUCUCUUUGGAGAAAGAGCUCUUCGUGUUGUUCUGUCUGGUUCUGGAAAAUAAGCUGUCUAGGUAGAUUUCUGCAGUGCUGCUUGUAUCUGGGGACUGUUGUGGUGCGUGGCACCAGGGAUGGACACAACCUUGUGGUCGAGCCUGAGGCUGGAUUGAGUGUGAAGCUGAGAGAUGGGGCCAGACACAGGGUACGCACAAGGGUUGUGCUGAUCAUUACCUCUGCCUAGGCAGCACUUCUCCAUCUCUGAGCUGAGGCUGAGUACAGCAGGUUGAACACGUGCUGCUGCGAGAUGCUGGGACCUGGAAAUCUCAUCUUGUCUGAGUUCAUCAGUCCUUCCGAUGCGGAGCGCUGAGUGGAGAGUCCCUGAGGAAGUGCUAGCACGAAGACAGAUUGAUGCUCUCAGAAAUAGGCUGAGGGAAGUCACGACUCACCACACAAUUGCUUUUUUCUGCCUGUCAGCUGCAGUAGAGUGUAGGGCCCACUCAGCUGUGCUGCUGCUCCUUCUGCCUGUGGCAGGGGCUCAGCUGCAGGGCAGGCAGAGCUGCGCUCGCUGGGCUCAGGGCCCUGUCAGGAGAGGACAUUCCUCCUGGACUUGAAUGUGUUUCUGAGUUUGUUUAAUACAGAUUUGCUGUUUUGGUGUGAAAGGAAAACAAAAAGGACAAUGCAUCUCCACAGAGGUAGUGUUUAAGCCUUCCUUCACUCAGGGCUUUUUUUCCUGUCCAAAACUUUGCCAGUUGGUGUCACCUCUGUGCCUGGCAAGAUCCACCUGCAGAGGCCCUACU